rnacentral:rRNA from 1 species
UACGAAAGGGGCUAGCGUUGCUCGGAAUGACUGGGCGUAAAGGGCGCGUAGGCGGUUUUCUUAGUUAGGCGUGAAAUUCCUGAGCUCAACCUGGGGGCUGCGCUUAAUACAGGGAGACUAGAGUGUGAGAGAGGGUUGUGGAAUUCCCAGUGUAGAGGUGAAAUUCGUAGAUAUUGGGAAGAACACCGGUGGCGAAGGCGGCAACCUGGCUCAUUACUGACGCUGAGGCGCGAAAGCGUGGGGAGCGAACAGG